UUAUCAAUUUUCCCCUACUCACCUUCCAUCAUUCCAUUAAUUAUUUCUUCUAAUUUAUAUCCCUCUCUCUUUUUUUGCAGUUGCAAUUUACUGACGUCAUGUCUCACAUGCAUGCCUAACAUUGGACCUGGAUGUGGAUGAGGAGGAAGCAAAUAGAAAAACACAUGAGGUUUUUUCAGCACUUCAUAGUUUUUUGACAUCGAAAUAAUUUCUUCUAUGCCAUUGUCAGUGUAUCACCUCCACACUUCCCAGAGCUACAAAUCUAAACUCAUGCUCUAUCUUGGCCCUGGUAUUUUGAUUCCAUUCUGACCACCAGGGAUCUGAAUGCUGCUCAGCUCCAUGCAAGAUAACAUAUUUAUCAGCAUAUGACACGCACAUUUAACUCCUGAAAAGCUUUCUGUUAAAGACGGAAGAAAGAGUGAAGAUAAUGUUGAAGAUAAAGUUCUUAAAGGGUCCCAGUAGGUUGCAGUUUGCGCAGUCCUCCUUGAUAUAUCAAUCCCCCUUCAAAUCACAGUGUCCCUUUCACAGUCACGUUCUAAAGAUCAUGCACUUACCCUGAUGAGGAGCAAUGGUCCUGCCAGAAGCCGAUGCUGGAGGGUCUUGAAUGCAGCUUUCUGUUAAAGACGGAAGAAAGAGUGAAGAGUCAAGCUCUAUGAUUUUGACCCCUGCUGCUGAAUCCAGGGACAUCCUCUGCCAGAAGGACAUCUCUUAGCUCCGCCUCCCACUCUCGCAACUUGAUAGGCUUUCCUCGGUUUUGUCCUAGUCGAAGCCUCUGCAUCUUCUUUGUAACCGUUGCCCGACAAUCAUAGAACCUGCAAAUGUACAUAAACAUUACAAUUACAUUAAUAAAAAAACAAAUACUUAGAUUAAUGUUUUUUGAAAACCACAUUUCUUUUCACAUUGUGAUGGUUAUAUGUAUACUGUUCAGCAUGUGGCUGUGACAAAUAAAUUUUUUGGUUACGUUGAA